GUCUUUUUGAMUUAAAUAUAAAGUAUAWCCUGCCCAUUGAUAUUUUUAAAAGGCUGCGGUAUAUUGACCGUACAAAGGUAGCAUAAUCAUUAGUUUUUUAAUUGAGAACUUGUAUGAAUGGUUGAAUGAGAAAUGAACUUUUUUAAUAAAAAAAUUGAAUUUUACAUUUUAAUUAAAAGGUUGAAAUGUAUUUAAAAGACGAGAAGACCCUAUAGAGUUUUAUAAUUUAUAUUUAAUAUUAAAAAAAAUUAAUAGAUAUUUUUAUUUAAAUAAUUAUUUUGUUGGGGUGAUGAUAAAAUUUAACUAACUUUUAUUUUUUUUUACAUUAAUAUAUGGGAAAUUGAUCCACUAUUAGUGAUUAAAAGAUUAAAUUACCUUAGGGAUAACAGCGUAAUUUUUUUUUUAAGUUCAUAUUAAUAAAAAAUUUUGCGACCUCGAUGUUGGAUUAAGAUUUAAUUUUAGGUGCAGAAGUUUAAAAUUUAAGUCUGUUCGACUUUUAAAUUCUU
rnacentral:rRNA from 1 species